UGGCUGUGCCUCUCCUAGGGCCAUUUAAGAGCUGACUGCUACUGAGGAAGGAUCUCAUACAGAUCACUUCUUGUGGAGGAUGUUGUAAGCCUACAGCAUUGAAUAACCAACUGCCAGUGAAAUACCAACUUCUUUACUUCAAUGGCAUCCAGGAAAGCGUUCAGAAGCAUGAGACAAAACAUAGAGAGUCUGCAGACUAAAGGCAAGCAACAAGCAGUGGAUGGACCAAAGAUAGUUCCCUCUGGACAUAGCAUACAGCAACUAAGAUUGAUGUUCAAAGGGUUCCAUGUUACAGUUUCAAACAACAGCUUACCCACUGUGGAAAACAAAUACUGCAGAGAUGUGCUUUAUGUGGACUUGGGGAACUGAAUUUUGCAAGAAUAAUAGCUGAAACUGGCCUCCAGACCUGCUAGCUGUAGUUCUGGAAGAAGAUUGUGACCUUGAGUCAAGUCAAUGGAUGGUAAAUACAUUGUGCUUAAAAAACUGCUGGAGAACAUCAAGGAGAGAAGAAAACUGACCCAGUGUCUAAAUCUCUAGUUCUGGUCUCUCUUGAACAGUAGCUCAUUAUACCUACCUGAAAAGUGAGCACCAGGAUUUAUUCUUACUAAAGUGUGUCCUAAUUUUUAAGCUUUUUUUUUUUUUUUUGUGAUGCCAGUUUGUCUUUUUUUCUGAUCAUGCUGUAAAACCUCCAGCUCACUCCUCCCACCUUCAUAUCUCCAACCAUUUAAUUAACAUUCUCCCUUUCCAUCCUUCUGCAGAUAAUAAGCACAAGCUGUGAAAUAUCCCCCUUGAUUAUCAGAGCAGACUAGCAGUUUCCAGCCUGUUUUACACCUCAGCCUAUUGUUGUAUUCAGAAACUUAUUUUCAAAGCUUGCAUAGAGUGAGAGCACUCUAUGAAGUAGUGUUAAAGCCUUGUUUCAGGUACAGACAGGGUAUCUUCUGCUUCUCUCUCAUUUGCAAAGCUGCAGGAAGAAAUGUGAAAGGUCUGACAUUGGUUCUUGCUGAGUCCAUGUAGCCACCCCUCAGCUUUUCCUCAGCUCCCAUCGUUCUUCCUCUUGCUCUGAUUCCUGGGCUCUCACCUCUGCAGGCCUUCUGCUCAGGUCCCUUCCUCCAACUGAACUCUUUGCUUUCUAUGGGAUGUUCCCACCACCCUUCUGAUUUACAGCCUUCAUACUUUGAUUUGCAUUUCCUUUUCUGUCCCUUUUUCCAAAUAUUGGAGUGCUUUUCUAUCUGUUCAGAAAAUUCAUUUAAAGGCUUUCAUUCUUUGUGUUCCAGUGCUCGUGUUCCUUCCUCAGUAUUCUUAUUGCUGUGCCUAUGUUCUCCCCUAUGCCCCCAGACCACCCUAUGGCUUUUCCUCUUUUUUCUCUUCUUCCAAGACCCCCACUGCCAUUUCUAUCAUUCCUUCUCUUCUUGCUAAUUCAAAUCAACAAACAAAAAAUGCCUUUCACCCCAACUGCAUGAGAUUAUCCUCUGCCACUGAAAGCUGACAGAUAGAAACUGCUUAAAUAUCUUUGUGGCUUUUGAAAGUGAAAAGGAAAAGAUUAAGCUGCAUUUACUGCUUUAAUUUGGAACUCAUGAGCACUACCAUAAUGCAGGAUUAGGUUCACACAGUUAUUUUUUAAAGUGCAUAACGAUGUUCCUAUUUGCUCAUCUAACAGAUCAUAGCAAUGCAGUCAUAACUUUUUACAGAUGACAAUGAUCCUUAGGCAGAAGCCUUCAAAAUAAAGCCUUUCUGAGUUUCCAGCUCUUAUAUAGUAAUUAUGUCUUGUACUACAUAUACAAUGGAAAUGGAUGAAUUCGGUCCAAAGAAACAGAUCUUUUCAAAGGAAGCAGAGGGAGCAAGGGAAAAGUGGCUCUGCGAUCUCAGAGUUCACAAAGAAAGCAGCUGAUCCUGCCUACACAGUGGGAAUUUCUUUUAAAAAGAAAAGUCUAAUUACAGCUGGCACUUUGGAGCCAAAUAAUUCUACUUUGCUGAAAAGUGACAUGAUUCUUCUGACACUGCAAGCAUGGGGCACGCUGUGCAGUAGUCCCCAUUCUCUCACUUCUCAUUCAAAUUAAAUACAACAUUACAGGAUUUUUUUUUAAUUUUUAAUGUCAGAAUUUCCUUCUAGAGUGUUGUGCAGGGGAGAGGGCCUAAAGAACAAUCAGGCCAGCCAAACUGAUGGAAAAUGAAGAUCUUGUUUAAUCCUUUCAUAAUGGUAAUAAACUUAGCACUAGUAUUUAUGCUUCAGAAGUAUCAUUUGAAGAAUUUGCAAAUGGUAAUUUUAAAAUCUAACAGACAACAUCAGAAGGUAAAUCCACUUAAAGAAAUCAUAUCCUCUGAAAAUGAAUGUCAUUCUCCCUACUUGCAACAGCACUCACUUUAGUGUUUCCUAUAACACUUCAGUGUCACUCCAAUUGGUGCUGGGGUCAGAAGUAUGACUGAGAAAGCAGGCCAUAGCGGUGUUAUCUGGGAGGAAGGGUCCUUGCAGGUGAGAAACAUGGCACCUCUGCAGAUCACUGGGGUGGUUAUCAGCUGAGGGCUGUCUGUAUGGCCCCGGCCUUUGCACAGAAAGCUGGAGUCCCAGACAAGAAAUAUGAGAGUAACAAAACCUGUAAUGUAUGUAAAAGAGCAGACCGAGGGAUGUUACUCUGUAGUUCUGCCUACUUUCUAGCAACCCAGAAUAUGGAGGUAAACCUCCUGGUGCUCCUGAAUUCCCUACUUGGGUUUGGAUUCUCACCAAACACCAGCUUCCAU